GAGCCUGUAGCUCAGUUGGUAGAGCAACUGACUUUUAAUCAGUAGGUCCAGGGUUCGAGCCCCUGCGGGCUCA
rnacentral:tRNA from 2 species